UACGUAGGGUGCGAGCGUUAAUCGGAAUUACUGGGCGUAAAGCGUGCGCAGGCGGUUUUGUAAGCCAGAUGUGAAAUCCCCGGGCUUAACCUGGGAAUGGCAUUUGGGACUGCAAGGCUUGAGUUUGGCAGAGGAGACUGGAAUUCCUGGUGUAGCAGUGAAAUGCGUAGAUAUCAGGAGGAAUACCGAUGGCGAAGGCAGGUCUCUGGGCCACUACUGACGCUGAGAAGCGAAA
rnacentral:rRNA from 1 species